rnacentral:rRNA from 1 species
GACGAACGCUGGCGGCGUGCUUAACACAUGCAAGUCGAACGGAAAGGCCCUGCUUUUGUGGGGUGCUCGAGUGGCGAACGGGUGAGUAACACGUGAGUAACCUGCCCUUGACUUUGGGAUAACUUCAGGAAACUGGGGCUAAUACCGGAUAGGAGCUCCUGCUGCAUGGUGGGGGUUGGAAAGUUUCGGCGGUUGGGGAUGGACUCGCGGCUUAUCAGCUUGUUGGUGGGGUAGUGGCUUACCAAGGCUUUGACGGGUAGCCGGCCUGAGAGGGUGACCGGCCACAUUGGGACUGAGAUACGGCCCAGACUCCUACGGGAGGCAGCAGUGGGGAAUAUUUCACAAUGGGCGGAAGCCUGAUGCAGCAACGCCGCGUGCAGGAUGACGGCCUUCGGGUUGUAAACCGCUUUCGCCUGUGACGAAGCGUGAGUGACGGUAAUGGGUAAAGAAGCACCGGCUAACUACGUG